rnacentral:pre_miRNA from 1 species
GGAGAAAGCUUUUUUUAAGUGAAAAAUUUCAGGGAUGCUAAUCCAAUAGAUGGCGGAUACGUUUUCCAAUCACGAAUCUUGUAUGAUCACUAACCAUUGGAAGUAAAAGAGUAUAUAUGACUUCGAACGGUUUGCAAUACGGAGGCUCAUAGCAACCCUUUCUUCUUGCUAAUAUUGCAACUUGCAAGCCGUUCAAAUUAAAAUAGUCAUCAUUUAGUUCUAGGUUGGUGAUCAUAUAGGAUUGGUAACAGUGAAACAUAUCCCCCAUCUAUCGGGAUUAAUUAGUGUCCCUGAAUAGUCGUGAGAGAACCUUGUUUGUGUCUUU